GAAUUUUGGACAAUGGGCGCAAGCCUGAUCCAGCCAUGCCGCGUGUGUGAAGAAGGCCUUCGGGUUGUAAAGCACUUUCGGACGGAACGAAAUCGCGCGGGUGAACAAUCCGCGUGGAUGACGGUACCGUAAGAAGAAGCCCCGGCUAACUACGGUCCGGCAGCCGCGGUACUACGUAGGGUGCAAGCGUUAAUCGGAAUUACUGGGCGUAAAGGGUGCGCAGGCCGCCCCGCAUGUCAGGCGUGAAAUCCCCGAGCUUAACUUGGGAAUGGCGCUUGAAACUACGGGGCUGGAGUGUGGCAGAGGGAGGUGGAAUUCCACGUGUAGCGGUGAAAUGCGUAGAGAUGUGGAGGAACACCGAUGGCGAAGGCAGCCUCCUGGGCCAACACUGACGCUCAUGCACGAAAGCGUGGGGAGCAAACAGG
rnacentral:rRNA from 1 species